rnacentral:rRNA from 1 species
CUGCGACCCCAGGUCAGGCGGGAUUACCCGCUGAGUUU